rnacentral:rRNA from 1 species
UAGGGAAUAUUGCACAAUGGGCGAAAGCCUGAUGCAGCAACGCCGCGUGCGCGAUGAAGGCCUUCGGGUCGUAAAGCGCUUUUUGGGGAGAUGAGGAAGGACAGUAUCCCCAGAAUAAGGCUCGGCUAACUACGUGCCAGCAGCCGCGGUAAAACGUAGGAGCCAAGCGUUAUCCGAAUUCACUGGGCGUAAAGCGCGUGCAGGCGGUACGAUAAGUUGGAUGUGAAAUCUCCUGGCUCAACUGGGAGAGGACGUUCAAUACUGUCGAACUAGAGGACAGCAGAGGGAGGUGGAAUUCCCGGUGUAGUGGUGAAAUGCGUAGAUAUCGGGAGGAACACCAGUGGCGAAAGCGGCCUCCUGGGCUGUGCCUGACGCUCAGACGCGAAAGCUAGGGGAGCAAACGGG